GACGAACGCUGGCGGCGUGCUUAACACAUGCAAGUCGAACGGAAAGGCCCUGCUUUUGUGGGUGCUCGAGUGGCGAACGGGUGAGUAACACGUGAGUAACCUGCCCUUGACUUUGGGAUAACUUCAGGAAACUGGGGCUAAUACCGGAUAGGAGCUCCUGCUGCAUGGUGGGGGUUGGAAAGUUUCGGCGGUUGGGGAUGGACUCGCGGCUUAUCAGCUUGUUGGUGGGGUAGUGGCUUACCAAGGCUUUGACGGGUAGCCGGCCUGAGAGGGUGACCGGCCACAUUGGGACUGCGAUACGGCCCAGACUCCUACGGGAGGCAGCAGUGGGGAGUAUUGCACAAUGGGCGGAAGCCUGAUGCAGCAACGCCGCGUGCGGGAUGACGGCCUUCGGGUUGUAAACCGCUUUCGCCUGUGACGAAGCGUGAGUGACGGUAAUGGGUAAAGAAGCACCGGCUAACUACGUG
rnacentral:rRNA from 1 species